rnacentral:lncRNA from 1 species
CAGGAAACAUAUUGCUAUUUUUUGUGCAUAAAACAUUUUAAACAACGAAUAAAAAAAUAAACACAAAUGUGCUCUUGUUGAACCUCUUAGUCCUUUUGAAGUGAAAUUAAAUAUUAUUUGAUAUCAAACAAAUUCAUAAAUACAACAAAAGAUUACAACAGGUUUUUUGUAUAUGUUCAUCCCGAGUUUUACUGAAUAAUUACAAAUUAGUGUUUAUAAAGAUAAUGUGUUGAAUUAAAGUAAGUCUAUGUAUGUUUUGAAAAUAUCAUAUAGUUUUACUGCUUUUUGUCAUGUGUUUCUUCGUCCACUUCGCUGUGGUUUUUGUAUUUCAUUCAUUUGGGACAUGAUGUUUUCUGUGUAGUAUCUGUGAAAUGGAUAGAUGUUGGUUAAGUGUUGGCUAUAAAUAAAAAGCUAUAUUUUAGUCAUACCUGGAUGUUCUAAUUGGAGGCAUUUUCCUGUUUCACAUGAUUUAGUAGGGGUGAAGGACUCCAUAUUUGUAGUGGUUUGUUGGUCCAUUGUUGUCGAAGGUGUAGUUGGUGGUCUUCUAGUUGAAUUGAUAGUUGGUUGUGGACUUUUUAUAUCAUUGGUUGUGGUGACUAUGAAACGGAUAUUUUUAGUUGAUGGAAGUUUUGUGCAUUGUACAAAAACAUUCUUUGUCAACCCUUUAAAACGUUGCAGUGGUUCCGGUAAAGUCAGUGGUCAAAAUUACACACACUGGAACAAUUCCCACAAUCAUAAUAAACAUGCAAACUUGGUGUCUCUUCUAAAAGUGAACUCUUGCAUGAACGACGGGGGACUAUCGUAUUGGAAGUAGAAGCCAUUUGUCGUCGUUUUGGAGGCAUCACAAGAAGGCAUUUACUGAAAUGGAAAUCCAAAUUUCAUUGACUUGUAACAUACUUUUUAUGUAAUUCAUAUGGAACAUUAGAUUCUAAAAAGGUGUAGUUGAAAGUAACUAUUAUGAUUAGUAACUAACUUAUGGAGUAUAUAUUAAAUAACAUUUGGAAGAGAUUAAUAACAUACUCUAUUAUUGUUUUAACCCAUGGAUUCAUUGAACAUCAAAGAUAAGAAAUAUAUUUGCAACAACAAAAUUAGUCAUUAAUCAACUGAUAAUGGUAUAUAUUCAACUAAAGCUUGUAAAUAGGAUAAAAUUGAAAAAAUGACCAUUCUAUUAAAAUUUAUGCCUAAAGGACCAUUAUUGUAAUUGAGUAUUGAUUUAGGACCAAAUUAGUAAACUUAUGUACACAAAACAUAUUCAGUGAAAGGGUUAAAGACAACUUACCAAAUUUCUAAAGAUCCAAGGUAGAAUUGAAUAUUAGAUUCCUUAUCACAAAAUGUUUAUAAUUUUUAUAUUAACAUAAAUUCAUGAGAAACCAAAGGGUGUUAAAAUGUCUAACUUGCAGAGGCAAUGAAGAAAGAGAGAAAAAUUGAAAUUGAAUAUGGACAGAAAUCAAUAUCAAAUACAAAGGAUAGACAACAUACCUAGAAAUUCAAAUUGUAAUUGAGUGUAGUCGGUUGAAGGCGGAUACAAAGCAGAACCGUUUGUUGGCGACAAAAACGUCAAACCUAGAAUGAAAACUUAAACGUAUUGAGUUGGAAAUGAAGAAAUUUAUAUGAAAAUGGAACAGAAAAUCAAUAUGAUAUAAUUGCGAUAUAGUAUAGACGAGGUAGGCGUCUAGGAGUAUGACUAAAGAAGUAUUUCAAAAAUCAGUAAUAUUUAAAGAGAAAAUUUUAAAUUGACAUACCUUAUUAAUUGGAAUUGUUGGAUUCCUAGUUGUAAGUGCUCGAAGAUAAAGACGGUGGAAACGUCAAACACAGAUUUUGUAAUCAAAGAAAGAACGAAUUAAUAUGAUGGUGUUGGGAAUUUGCACAUAUUCACAAAGAUUAGAGAAAGUUGUUAUGUAUUGAAAGCAAGAAAGAGUUCACAAUUGACAUACCUUAUGAGUCGUAAUUGUUUGAGUCCAAAUUCUAAGUGCUUGGAGAAAAAGAUGGUGGUUGAGAGGCUCUGAAACGAAGUAGGACUAAUUAAUUUUAAACUAAAACAUGAAUAAAGUUCAAAUUUAGCACUAACUUUAUGAUGAACUCAACUAAAAACAUAGAAAGAAAAAUGAUACAUUUUACAAAUUAUAAAAAUAUAAACAAAAACAAUAGAAGGAACAAACACAAAAAGACGACACAAAAAAAGAUGUAAACAAAAAAUCAAAAUCAAAUAAAAACAUUAUAUGACCUACCGAAAUUCAAAAAUACAACAAAGAGCACAUGCUGUUUGUGGUGGUAAUUGAGCACCGACGGUCAAACCCACAAAGUCGAAGACAUCGCUCAAAAACACGGAAGGAUUAGAAGGAAUAGCAAUUGAAUUGAAAAUCACAAUAUAAUUGAUACAUUAUACGACAUACCAUAAUUCGUCAUAGAAACAAAUAGAAAUUCGUAGCCUUCAACAUACCAGAAUUUGUCACAGCAAUAGAUAGAUAUUCCUAGUCUCCUUAUAUCAUUAAUGAAAAUCCUGAAAUAAGAUUUCAGAAUUCCAGUUACCAAAUAUUAGAGUAAACAUAAAAAGUUAAAGGGGUUAUUUUGUCAUUAUUAAAGUGUUUUUAACACAUUUGACUAAUAUACAAAGAAUAAGUACUCAAUUAGAAAAUUAUUCUUCAUGAUGCAAGAAAUAUUAUGUUUUUCUUUUAUUCAACUUUUGUCGCUAACAUACAACACAAUACAAAAAAAAAAUGGUUCACUAUGGGAUUUCCAGGGUAUUUGUUGACUCACCUUCUUUUAUAAUGUCAAAAUUAGCAUUCUUUAUGAUAAAUGACCAAUGAUUCCAUCUACUAUUGUAAAAGCUUUAGUCUUUUUGAUAAAUAACCAAUAAUAUAUGGGUGGUGAGUCCUAGAUUAUACAAAUUCUUAUUUAGGGUGCAUUCUUUUGAACGCUUUUGGAAGUUUCUUCAGAUAACCGUAUCAGGGUUUUUUUUUUCAGUUUAUGGUUGUUUUACAACUUACUUUAGUUGUCAUUUGACCUUUUUGCCCCUGUGAGGCUGUGGCUUACCUGGUUUUUGUUCCAAUCUUGAUUGCAGUAUACACCUGCUGUUGAUACACUUAGAUGCAAGCCAAGUUAACUACACCAGAGAUUAAGAUAAUGACUAUUUGUAUAGAAAUUUUACUUUGUGGUGAAAAGAGUCGUUUUGUAUUUUUUUUUUUGGAAAUUGGCCAUUAACUGUUACUGUGUGUGGGUGUUUCGGGCUAAGAUAUUGAUUUAUCUGUUUGUGUAUUUUAUCCCUUCUUUCAUAGUUCUUUUUGUUGAAAAGAGUCGUUUUUUUGUUUAUAUGCAAUCAUUUUUUUUCUUUAACAUAUAGUAAUAAAUACAAUUAGUUAAACACGUUAAGCAUGCCUUUAGUCGUAUUAUGUAUCCAAUUGUAUCGAAUCAAAUCAUCCUAAUAUUACAUUAAACGCUUUUGGUCUUAAAUGAGUCAGAGGAAACUUUUGUUUAUACUUGAAUGAGUGAAUUAUUUGAGACUAAAAUCUGAUGGAAUGGCGUUUUAACAUUGAAAAGAAUUUGCUCUUCUUUUCUUCACAUGAAUUGAUGAUCAACAGCAUUUGUAUGAGAGUGUUUUGAAAUGAGAGCAUAGAUUCUUGUCAUUACAAUUUGUAAAACCUCUCUUAAUCAUUACAUAAAUAAUUUGAAAUAGCUUCGAGUUAUUGACUCUUUGUUGGAUUCACAACUUUAGGGUUAGUUGGGGUGACAAAUUAUGUUCAUUCUUACGAUGUUCUGACCAGGAAAUGGACCAGGUAGUUCUAAUUCGUUCUUAUAUUUGACUUAACUUUUCUAGAAGUCAAUGCUAAUGCUUUUUUUUUCAGAAUUCGACAAGCUGGAGAACCACCUUCACCCAGGGUUGCUCAUGCAGCUGCUGUUGUUGGAACAAUGGUUGUAUUUCAGGUAACCAUAAUUAUGAACUAAAGUGAAAAAAGGAGAUCUUUUAGCCAUUUAUCUGAUUUUUGGUUUUUGAUAAACCGAUUGUGCAUGAUUAGGGCGGCAUUGGUUGAUAAAAUAAUAAAUAUUAAGAUUCUUUCUCCAUUUCGAGGAGGUGUCUCGCAUGUGUGGACUUCCCUUUAACUUUUACUUAAUUAAGUAAUUAAGCUAUAUAGACUAUUACUAAGUUGAUAACAUCUAGGUUUUGGAACAAUUAUAUAUAUAAAAGCCUUUAUCGUUCUAUUCCUCAUGUCCUUGAUCCAUGAUCUUUGUUUGUUUUCUAAACAACUAUUUCUAUAACUUAACUUUUACAAUACUGUUAAAUUGAACUAAUAAAUUAACAAAAUAGAAGGUUAUAUAAUAAUGCAACUUUUGACAUUGUUGUUGUUUUUAUAUGUAGGAUCCUAAACAUGGACACUGGUGGCUACAAUUUGGAUCAGGGGUGCUAAUAGGAUAUUGGCCAUCUUUUUUUAUUCAGUCAUCUACAAAAAGAAGCAAGUAUGAUACAAUUUGGAGGGGAGAUAGUGAACACAAGAUCAGGGGGUAUCACACAUCAACUCAAAUUGGAAGUGGCCAUUUUGCAGAUGAAGGUUUUGGAAAAGCUUCAUACUUUAGGAAUUUACAGGUUGUUGAUUGGGACAACAGUUUGCUUCCUUUAACAAAUCUCCAUGUAUUAACUGAUAAUCCAAAUUGUUACAAUAUAAAAGCCGGAAAAAAUAAUGUUUGGGCGAAUUGUAUUUAUGAUGGAGGUCCAGGAAGGAAAGGAGGUUGUCAAUAGAGAAAAUUGCAUAGUAGUAACAAUAUUUUUAUUUACAUUAUUAAUUCUUUCCCUCUAGAGGAUUUUUGGAAUUUUUUGUCUAAAAAAGAUCCCUUUUUAAGUUUUAUUUGUAGUAGGUUGCCAUAAUUAAGCCAUGUUAAUGAGGGCUCUUGUAUAUUAGCGUUAGGGGUAGUAACUGAUUUUAUAAUGUAUUAUGGUUUGUAUUUCGUAAUGUGGUGAUUUGAUUUUUCAUUAUAACAGCAAACAAUAACCUAACAACAAAAUAAAUAGCCUACCUUGACAACAUAUAUAGGUGGAACUUUUGCACUUUAUUCUUCAAUAUGCGGACAUGCUAAAGUAAGCCUUUUACCAAAUCAACAAACUGCUGAUGAAUCACUGUGUACAUAUAAAUUCAAGCAAUCUAAUGAUGGGAAAUAUUGUCUAGAGGGUUUCGUAACUUUAAUUUCACAGAGUAGGAAAGACAAUCAAAAUCAUAUGACGGAGAACAUACCAAGAAUUGAAAUUGCAAUUGAGUGUAGAUUAUUGGAGGCGGCAACAGAAGGCGUCGUCGGAGAUGUCAAACCCAUAUUUGAAAUCCUAAUUUAUUGAUAGAGAAGCCGUAGGAGAUCUCAAAUCCACACAGUCGGAAAACAGAAAAAGAAGAGGAGUCUGAAGAUUUUGGAGAAACGUAUAAAAACGAUGAUGGAGGAAUAUUCUCUAGACGAUUUCAUAACUUCAAUUUCACAGAGUCGGAAUAUAAGAAAAAAGCAAAUUCGAGAUUGAAACAAAAUCAAUAUCGAAUAGAACAAAACAUACCCAGACAUCAAAUUUCAAUUGAUUGUGGAUGGUUGGAGGCAGCAACAACCGUUUUUUGGCAAGAAAUUGAAACUUAGACAGAAAAUCAAAAUCGAAUAGAAGAAAACAUACCCAGACUUCAAAUUUCAACUGAUUGUAGAUGGUUGGAGGCAGCAACAACCGUUUUUUGGCAAGAGAAGUUGAAAUUCUAAGUUCUUGAUUGAUAAGGUGUAUGAGAUGUCAAACCCAUAAUUCAAAUUCGGAAUUGUUGAUUGAGAAGCGUAUUCAGAAUUCUUGAUUGAGAAGCGUAUGAGAUGUCAAGAAGAGAAGUCUGAAGAAAUGGUAGAAACUUAUGGAAGCGAUCAUGGGGGUAAAAUUUUAAAAGUGUUGAUUGUUAUGGAGAAUUUGGAGAAACCUAAUGUGGCGAAACUCUAAAC